rnacentral:tRNA from 1 species
GCCCGGGUGGUGGAACUGGUCAGACACAGGCCCCUUAAAAGGGUCCGCCCCUGAGGGCAUGCGGGUUCGACUCCCGCCCCGGGCA